AACGAACGCUGGCGGCAUGCCUAACACAUGCAAGUCGAACGAGACCUUCGGGUCUAGUGGCGCACGGGUGCGUAACGCGUGGGAACCUGCCCUUAGGUUCGGAAUAACUCCCCGAAAGGGGUGCUAAUACCGGAUAAUGUCUUCGGACCAAAGAUUUAUCGCCAUUGGAUGGGCCCGCGUUGGAUUAGCUAGUUGGUAGGGUAAAAGCCUACCAAGGCGACGAUCCAUAGCUGGUCUGAGAGGAUGAUCAGCCACACUGGGACUGAGACACGGCCCAGACUCCUACGGGAGGCAGCAGUGGGGAAUAUUGGACAAUGGGCGAAAGCCUGAUCCAGCAAUGCCGCGUGAGUGAUGAAGGCCUUAGGGUUGUAAAGCUCUUUUACCCGGGAUGAUAAUGACAGUACCGGGAGAAUAAGCACCGGCUAACUCCGUG
rnacentral:rRNA from 1 species